rnacentral:rRNA from 1 species
AGAGUUUGAUCCUGGCUCAGGACGAACGCUGGCGGCGUGCUUAACACAUGCAAGUCGAACGGAAGUUACGAGGAAGCCUAGCGAAUUGUAACUUUAGUGGCGGACGGGUGAGUAACGCGUGGAUAACCUGCCUACAUGACCGGGACAACACCGGGAAACUGGUGCUAAUACCGGAUACGCUCUUGAGGGCACAUGCUUUUGAGAGGAAAGGAGAAAUCCGCAGGUAGAUGGGUCCGCGUCCCAUUAGCUAGUUGGCGGUGUAAAAGACCACCAAGGCGACGAUGGGUAGCCGGCCUGAGAGGGUGGACGGCCACACUGGAACUGAGACACGGUCCAGACUCCUACGGGAGGCAGCAGUGGGGAAUCUUCCGCAAUGGGCGCAAGCCUGACGGAGCAACGCCGCGUGAGUGAAGAAGGCUUUCGGGUUGUAAAACUCUGUCUUCAGGGAAGAAAAAAAUGACGGUACCUGAGGAGGAAGCCCCGGCUAACUACGUGCCAGCAGCCGCGGUAAAACGUAGGGGGCGAGCGUUGUCCGGAAUUACUGGGCGUAAAGGGCGCGUAGGCGGUUUCUUAAGUCAGAGGUGAAAACUGUGGGCUCAACCCACAGCCUGCCUUUGAAACUGGGAGACUUGAGGGCAGGAGAGGGGAGUGGAAUUCCCAGUGUAGCGGUGAAAUGCGUAGAUAUUGGGAGGAACACCAGUGGCGAAGGCGGCUCUCUGGCUUGUUUCUGACGCUGAGGCGCGAAAGCGUGGGGAGCAAACGGGAUUAGAUA